AAAAUGGCCCUUGUCAGGGCCACCUUUACUGACAACAUCAUAGAGG
rfam:Macrostomum lignano uti_cns_0045481, whole genome shotgun sequence.